AUUGAACGCUGGCGGCAGGCCUAACACAUGCAAGUCGAGCGGAGCGGCGGACGGGUGAGUAAUGCCUAGGAAUCUGCCUGGUAGUGGGGGAUAACGUCCGGAAACGGGCGCUAAUACCGCAUACUAUCAGAUGAGCCUAGGUCGGAUUAGCUAGUUGGUGGGGUAAAGGCCUACCAAGGCGACGAUCCGUAACUGGUCUGAGAGGAGGAUCAGUCACACUGGAACGGAGACACGGUCCAGACUCCUACGGGAGGCAGCAGUAGGGAAUCUUCCGCAAUGGGCGAAAGCCUGACGGAGCAACGCCGCGUGAGUGAUGAAGGUCUUCGGGUUGUAAAGUACUUUCAGCGGGGAGGCGUUACCCGCAGAAGAAGCACCGGCUAACUCCGUGCCAGCAGCCGCGGUAAUAC
rnacentral:rRNA from 1 species